GAUGAACGCUGGCGGCGUGCCUAAUACAUGCAAGUCGAGCGAACGGACGAGAAGCUUGCUUCUCUGAUGUUAGCGGCGGACGGGUGAGUAACACGUGGAUAACCUACCUAUAAGACUGGGAUAACUUCGGGAAACCGGAGCUAACCCCGGAUAAUAUUCUGAACCGCAUGGUUCAUCAGUGAAAUACGGUCUUGCUGUCACUUAUAGAUGGAUCCGCGCUGCAUUAGCUAGUUGGUAAGGUAACGGCUUACCAAGGCAACGAUGCAUAGCCGACCUGAGAGGGUGAUCGGCCACACUGGAACUGAGACACGGUCCAGACUCCUACGGGAGGCAGCAGUAGGGAAUCUUCGGCAAUGGGCGAAAGCCUGACGGAGCAACGCCGCGUGAGUGAUGAAGGCCUUCGGAUCGUAAAACUCUGUUAUUAGGGAAGAACAGAUGUGGAAGUAACCGUGCACAUCUUGACGGUACCUGAUCAAAAAGCCACGGCUAACUACGUG
rnacentral:rRNA from 1 species